AACGAACGCUGGCGGCAUGCCUAACACAUGCAAGUCGAACGAGACCUUCGGGUCUAGUGGCGCACGGGUGCGUAACGCGUGGGAACCUUCCCUUAGGUUCGGAAUAACUCCCCGAAAGGGGUGCUAAUACCGGAUAAUGUCUUCGGACCAAAGAUUUAUCGCCUUUGGAUGGGCCCGCGUUGGAUUAGCUAGUUGGUAGGGUAAAAGCCUACCAAGGCGACGAUCCAUAGCUGGUCUGAGAGGAUGAUCAGCCACACUGGGACUGAGACACGGCCCAGACUCCUACGGGAGGCAGCAGUGGGGAAUAUUGGACAAUGGGCGAAAGCCUGAUCCAGCAAUGCCGCGUGAGUGAUGAAGGCCUUAGGGUUGUAAAGCUCUUUUACCCGGGAUGAUAAUGACAGUACCGGGAGAAUAAGCCCCGGCUAACUCCGUG
rnacentral:rRNA from 1 species